GGGGGCGUAAAGGUUUCGACGGGGAUUUUGAGACACGAUAAGCGAGUAGUGGCGCGGACCCACUUUAAAAGCCGUAACUUAAACAAUAAACGACAACAAUAACGUUGCCCUUGCUGCCUAAUUAGGCAGCCGUCCGACCCGGAAGUACCGCGAUCCGGUGAGGGCGUCGAUCAGCGGUGAACGUGAACCGGCGACGGCCUCGCAGCCGGUCAUGACUCAUGAGGCUACCAAGCGCGCAAGCCUGACGGGCGGCGUGCGUGCGAGGGAAAUUCAGUAGACCGUCUGCACUCGGAGAAAGUCGUGAGGACGAAUUUUCGGACAGGAGUUCGAUUCUCCUCGCCUCCACCA
rnacentral:tmRNA from 1 species